GAUAAGACUCAUGCUUAUACCUACUUAUAAAAGGUUUGCUAACAUCAAAUUGGUUUGUGUCCGUUGAUUAUUAUAACAAUGAAGUCUUUAAUCGUACUGUUCGCGUUGUUUUACACAUGCACUGCAUUUGGUUUUAAUGUGCCAUCCUCGUAUAUAAAAUCAUGGGAACAUACGAUAUCGCCUGUAAGGGAUGACUGUUUAAAUGAAAGUGGGUUGGAGCGACAGGUACUCUACGAUGCAUUGUUCACUAUGAAUUUCCCCGACAGCCCCGAGUUUAAGUGUUUUUCCGCAUGUGUUUGGACGCAUUUAGAGUAUUAUGACUCUACCACAAGGAAAAUAAAUGCGAACAAAAUUGGACAGGAAGUGAGGGGAUUUACACCAAAAAUUGCUGAAGCUUGUUAUGAUAAGCACAGGGCUAAUAGAAAUUCAUGUGAAAUGGUCUUCUCUAUCAUCAAAUGUGGCAUUGUGGAAAUGUAAAUUAUGGCUCCCAGGAAAUCGGAUUCCUAUACCGUAGAAUUUAAGGUUUAUUAUGUAUUUGUUAUGUAAAAUCUUAAAGAAAUUCAAAUAUAAUUUUUCUCGUUA